rnacentral:rRNA from 1 species
ACAGGGUGACAGCCCCGUACACAAAAGCGCAUGUGCUGUGAGCUCGAUGAGUAGGGCGGGACACGUGGUAUCCUGUCUGAAUAUGGGGGGACCAUCCUCCAAGGCUAAAUACUCCUGACUGACCGAUAGUGAACCAGUACCGUGAGGGAAAGGCGAAAAGAACCCCGGCGAGGGGAGUGAAAAAGAACCUGAAACCGUGUACGUACAAGCAGUGGGAGCCCCACCACCAAAGCAUUCUCUGGUGUUGAAGGCCCUGCAAAGCAGCAUCGCGGUGGCGGAGCGUCGUUUGCGACGCCCAACACACAAAACAAGCGGUGAGUGCUUUGGGGUGGGGUGACUGCGUACCUUUUGUAUAAUGGGUCAGCGACUUAUAUUCUGUAGCAAGGUUAACCGAAUAGGGGAGCCGGAGGGAAACCGAGUCUUAAUUGGGCGUUAAGUUGCAGGGUAUAGACCCGAAACCCGGUGAUCUAGCCAUGGGCAGGUUGAAGGUUGGGUAACACUAACUGGAGGACCGAACCGACUAAUGUUGAAAAAUUAGCGGAUGACCUGUGGCUGGGGGUGAAAGGCCAAUCAAACCGGGAGAUAGCUGGUUCUCCCCGAAAGCUAUUUAGGUAGCGCCUCGUGAAUUCAUCUCCGGGGGUAGAGCACUGUUUCGGCUAGGGGGCCAUCCCGGCUUACCAACCCGAUGCAAACUGCGAAUACCGGAGAAUGUUAUCACGGGAGACACACGGCGGGUGCUAACGUCCGUCGUGAAGAGGGAAACAACCCAGACCGCCAGCUAAGGUCCCAAAGUCAUGGUUAAGUGGGAAACGAUGUGGGAAGGCCCAGACAGCCAGGAUGUUGGCUUAGAAGCAGCCAUCAUUUAAAGAAAGCGUAAUAGCUCACUGGUCGAGUCGGCCUGCGCGGAAGAUGUAACGGGGCUAAACCAU